GAUGAAGAACGUAGCGAAAUGCGAUAAGUAAUGUGAAUUGCAGAAUUCAGUGAAUCAUCGAAUCUUUGAACGCACAUUGCGCCCGCCAGUAUUCUGGCGGGCAUGCCUGUUCGAGCGUCAUUUCAACCCUCGGGCCCCGCACUCGUGCGGGCUCCGGCGUUGGGGACCGGCCUCCGCAUCGGACGGCCGCCCCGAAACCCAGUGGCGGUCCCGCCGCGGCCUUCUCUGCGUAGUAGCAUACACCUCGCACUGGAGAGCGGCGCGGCCACGCCGUAAAAGAAACGAACUUUCUCAAGGUUGACCUCGGAUCAGGUAGGAAUACCCGCUGAACUUAAGCAUAUCAAUAAGCGGAGGA
rnacentral:misc_RNA from 1 species